ACCUGCCUCAAGGCUGGGGAUAACAUUUGGAAACAGAUGCUAAUACCGAAUAAAACUUAGUGUCGCAUGACACAAAGUUAAAAGGCGCUUCGGCGUCACCUAGAGAUGGAUCCGCGGUGCAUUAGUUAGUUGGUGGGGUAAAGGCCUACCAAGACAAUGAUGCAUAGCCGAGUUGAGAGACUGAUCGGCCACAUUGGGACUGAGACACGGCCCAAACUCCUACGGGAGGCUGCAGUAGGGAAUCUUCCACAAUGGGCGAAAGCCUGAUGGAGCAACGCCGCGUGUGUGAUGAAGGCUUUCGGGUCGUAAAGCACUGUUGUAUGGGAAGAACAGCUAGAAUAGGAAAUGAUUUUAGUUUGACGGUACCAUACCAGAAAGGGACGGCUAAAUACGUGCCAGCAGCCGCGGUAAUACGUAUGUCCCGAGCGUUAUCCGGAUUUAUUGGGCGUAAAGCGAGCGCAGACGGUUUAUUAAGUCUGAUGUGAAAGCCCGGAGCUCAACUCCGGAAUGGCAUUGGAAACUGGUUAACUUGAGUGCAGUAGAGGUAAGUGGAACUCCAUGUGUAGCGGUGGAAUGCGUAGAUAUAUGGAAGAACACCAGUGGCGAAGGCGGCUUACUGGACUGCAACUGACGUUGAGGCUCGAAAGUGUGGGUAGCAAACAGGAUUAGAUACCCUGGUAGUCCACACCGUAAACGAUGAACACUAGGUGUUAGGAGGUUUCCGCCUCUUAGUGCCGAAGCUAACGCAUUAAGUGUUCCGCCUGGGGAGUACGACCGCAAGGUUGAAACUCAAAGGAAUUGACGGGGACCCGCACAAGCGGUGGAGCAUGUGG
rnacentral:rRNA from 1 species